rnacentral:lncRNA from 1 species
GAUCAUGUUACACUAGAUGAGGGAGGCGGCUUCAAAGAAGAAAGUGUGUUUACCUUAUGGUAUGCCCCUCAUGAAAAUAUUUAUGGAAGUAGGAGUCCCUCUAGAGAAUGAGACCUACAAGAAGCUAUCACACUCUGACAUUUAUGACGAUAGGUCUUUAAAUGGGAUGAAGUAUCAUGUAAUCAGAGGUAGGUGGGUUAAGAAAGUCUUUGGUCAGGAAAGG